ACGAUGAUGCCCAGCUUGCUGGGCGGAUUAGUGGCGAACGGGUGAGUAAUACGUGAGUAACCUGCCCUUGACUCUGGGAUAAGCCUGGGAAACUGGGUCUAAUACUGGAUACUACCUCUUACCGCAUGGUGGGUGGUGGAAAGGGUUUUACUGGUUUUGGAUGGGCUCACGGCCUAUCAGCUUGUUGGUGGGGUAAUGGCUCACCAAGGCGACGACGGGUAGCCGGCCUGAGAGGGUGACCGGCCACACUGGGACUGAGACACGGCCCAGACUCCUACGGGAGGCAGCAGUGGGGAAUAUUGCACAAUGGGCGGAAGCCUGAUGCAGCGACGCCGCGUGAGGGAUGACGGCCUUCGGGUUGUAAACCUCUUUCAGUAGGGAAGAAGCGAGAGUGACGGUACCUGCAGAAGAAGCGCCGGCUAACUACGUGCCAGCAGCCGCGGUAAUACGUAGGGCGCAAGCGUUGUCYGGAAUUAUUGGGCGUAAAGAGCUCGUAGGCGGUUUGUCGCGUCUGCUGUGAAAGCCCGGGGCUCAACCCCGGGUCUGCAGUGGGUACGGGCAGACUAGAGUGCAGUAGGGGAGACUGGAAUUCCUGGUGUAGCGGUGAAAUGCGCAGAUAUCAGGAGGAACACCGAUGGCGAAGGCAGGUCUCUGGGCUGUUACUGACGCUGAGGAGCGAAAGCAUGGGGAGCGAACAGGAUUAGAUACCCUGGUAGUCCAUGCCGUAAACGUUGGGCACUAGGUGUGGGGGACAUUCCACGUUUUCCGCGCCGUAGCUAACGCAUUAAGUGCCCCGCCUGGGGAGUACGGCCGCAAGGCUAAAACUCAAAGGAAUUGACGGGGGCCCGCACAAGCGGCGGAGCAUGCGGAUUAAUUCGAUGCAACGCGAAGAACCUUACCAAGGCUUGACAUUCACCGGACCGCCCCAGAGAUGGGGUUUCCCUUCGGGGCUGGUGGACAGGUGGUGCAUGGUUGUCGUCAGCUCGUGUCGUGAGAUGUUGGGUUAAGUCCCGCAACGAGCGCAACCCUCGUUCUAUGUUGCCAGCACGUGAUGGUGGGGACUCAUAGGAGACUGCCGGGGUCAACUCGGAGGAAGGUGGGGAUGACGUCAAAUCAUCAUGCCCCUUAUGUCUUGGGCUUCACGCAUGCUACAAUGGCCGGUACAAAGGGUUGCGAUACUGUGAGGUGGAGCUAAUCCCAAAAAGCCGGUCUCAGUUCGGAUUGAGGUCUGCAACUCGACCUCAUGAAGUCGGAGUCGCUAGUAAUCGCAGAUCAGCAACGCUGCGGUGAAUACGUUCCCGGGCCUUGUACACACCGCCCGUCAAGUCACGAAAGUUGGUAACACCCGAAGCCGGUGGCCUAACCCCUUGUGGG
rnacentral:rRNA from 1 species